rnacentral:rRNA from 1 species
GAUGAACGCUAGCGGCAGGCCUAAUACAUGCAAGUCGAGGGGCAGCGCGGUAGCAAUACUGGCGGCGACCGGCGCACGGGUGCGUAACACGUAUGCAACCUACCUUCAACUGGAGGAUAGCCCGGGGAAACUCGGAUUAAUACUCCAUAACACAGGGAUCCCGCAUGGGAAUAUUGUUAAAGCUACGGCGGUUGAAGAUGGGCAUGCGUUCGAUUAGCUAGUUGGUGUAGGUAACGGCUCACCAAGGCUACGAUCGAUAGGGGGUCUGAGAGGAUGAUCCCCCACACUGGUACUGAGAUACGGACCAGACUCCUACGGGAGCAGCAGUAGGGAAUAUUGGUCAAUGGGCGCAAGCCUGAACCAGCCAUCGCCGCGUGCAGGAAGAGG